rfam:TPA: Bos taurus chromosome 3, whole genome shotgun sequence.
UCCCUGAUAGCUCAGUUGGUAAAGAAUCUGCCUGCAAUGCAGGAGACUCUGGUUCAAUUCCUGGGUCAGAAAA